UCAAUUCCCACCUCCCUACCUCAGCCCGGUUCAACCUGUCAGGCUGGCCUUGACAAAUUGGUGCCUGAAACCAGGGACCUGAGGACUUGGGAAGCAGACCGUGAGGAACUCCUCCAGAUAAAGAGUGCACUCGUUAAGGUCAAGAUGGAGGACGAAGUGGAACAAGAAGUCACUCCACCAUUCAAGAGGCUACGAAUCAGCCCACUGGCGCCCGUGCCGCCGCCGCUGCCACGGAGAUCGCGGACGACUCGGAGGACGUCUCCACCAACUUGGGGACAGCUGAAGAAGCUGACACCGGAGGCCGAGGCCAUGGUCGUUCGCCAGGGAGCACAACGAACUGCUGAGACUUUGUUUCUAGCCAUGCUGUCAAUUUUGGCUGUUCAGGUCUUACUGCUUGUGUACCUACUCCUUACUUUCUCCUUAUUGGGAUUGUACAUAUUGUACUUAAGGGCAACUUGUAUACAAUUUCUUGUACUCAUUGCAAC